CCCUCCGCCCGGUGGCCUCCGAGAGAGAGCGCGCGGGAGACCCGGUCCCGGGGCGGGGCGGAGAAGCGGCUCCGGUCCGACCCCCCGCGAGUUCCCACACCUAGCGGGCCAGGGGCGCGCUGCGCGGCGUCCUCCCCCCGCCAACCCGACCCCGCGGCCGCCUUCCCCCGCCGGGUUCCCCGGGCGGCGCGCCCGCAGGCCCGCGGCCCUUACCUGCAGCUCGAUUUCCACAGCUUCCACACUGCCUGUGUUUCUUGAUAGUGCCAACGCUGCUGUGGACCAGGAAGUCCCUUCAUGGCCAGUCAUCCUCAGCUCACUUCUCCAGCAUCUCCAGAGCUCACUAACUUUGUACGCUCCGACGCCUUUCAUUUCCACAACCAUACUACUUCUGCCUUCUUCCCAGGAGGACCUGAGGUGACCUGUGAAGAUGGUUUGCUACUCCAUUGACUCAGAAACCCCUCCCACGUCAUGUAAAUCAAGAGGUUCAAGUUUUUGUGUUCACUUUAAGAACACCCAUGAAAACGUCCCAGGCCACUAAGGGUGUGCAUAUCCUGAAGCAUGGGACUUUCAAGAAGCCAUGUGUGCCUUUCUGGCAUUAUAAUGGAGGAGUCUGCGGGUGCGUCCAGGCCAAAUGGUGGGGCUGGACAAAGAGCCAGUGGCCCAAAAUGAACAGCACGUGCUUUAAAAUGCAGAGAGUAAUCCUGAAGUUAAGGGUUUAAAUAUAGAUUCGCUGGCAUUGAACAUAUCUAGUGAACAAAGUCCCUAUGAUGCACCCAUGAACAACAAAGCUCAUGACCAGAUUAGACCACACAUGAA